GGCAUGCCUAAUACAUGCAAGUCGAACGAAUGAAGGAGUGCUUGCACUCCGGAUUUAGUGGCGAACGGGUGAGUAACACGUAGGCAACCUGCCCAAGAGACGGGGACAACAGUUGGAAAGACUGCUAAUACCGGAUAGGAUAUUUCUUUGUCAUGAAGAAAUAUUUUAAAGAUGCGUAUGCAUCACUCUUGGAUGGGCCUGCGUCGCAUUAGCUAGUUGGUAAGGUAAUGGCUUACCAAGGCGACGAUGCGUAGCCGAGCUGAGAGGCUGAUCGGCCACACUGGAACUGAGACACGGUCCAGACUCCUACGGGAGGCAGCAGUAGGGAAUAUUCCACAAUGGGCGAAAGCCUGAUGGAGCAAUGCCGCGUGUGUGAUGAAGGCCUUCGGGUUGUAAAGCACUGUUGUAAGGGAAGAAUUACCAGAGUAGGAAAUGGCUCUGGGGUGACGGUACCUUACCAGAAAGCCACGGCUAACUACGUG
rnacentral:rRNA from 1 species